rnacentral:rRNA from 1 species
CAAUAGUGUAUAUUAAAGUUGUUGCAGUUAAAAAGCUCGUAGUUGGAUUUCUGGUGGGAGCGAUCGGUCUGGCGCUUAGCGCGAGUACUUGCAUCGUCUCCGGCCAUCCUUGGGGAGAGUCUGUCUGGCAUUAGGUUGUCGGGCAGAGGAUCCUCAUCGUUUACUGUGAAAAAAUUAGAGUGUUCAAAGCAGGCUUAUGCCGUUGAAUAUAUUAGCAUGGAAUAAUAAGAUAGGACUUUGGUACUAUUUUGUUGGUUUGCGCACCAAAGUAAUGAUUAAUAGGGACAGUUGGGGGUAUUCGUAUUCCGUUGUCAGAGGUGAAAUUCUUGGAUUUACGGAAGACGAACUACUGCGAAAGCAUUUACCAAGGAUGUUUUCAUUAA